AGAGUUUGAUCCUGGCUCAGGACGAACGCUGGCGGCGUGCCUAACACAUGCAAGUCGAGCGGAGACAGUGAGUAGCUUGCUAUGAGCUGUUUUAGCGGCGGACGGGUGAGUAACGCGUGAGCAACCUUUCCCAGACAGGGGAAUAACACACCGAAAGGUGUACUAAUACCGCAUAAGACCACGGGAUCACAUGGUUCUGGGGUAAAAGAUUUAUCGGGUUUUGGGGUGGGCGUCGCGUCCGAUUAGGUAGUUGGUGAGGUAACGG
rnacentral:rRNA from 1 species